rnacentral:tRNA from 1 species
UCCCUGGUAGCUCAGAAGGUAAAGAAUCUGCCUGCAAUGUAGAAGACCUGGGUUCAAUUCCUGGAUUGGGAA